rnacentral:snoRNA from 14 species
UCCUAGUAUCUCCCUCUGAUUCAUUCAUGUAUUAGCGGGUCGUAAAGGUUGCUAAAUAAAUAUGAAUUCUUUUUUUAUUUAAUUAUCAAACAAUAAAUUUGUUUAAUAAUUACUUAAGAAUGCUACAAUU